UAAUAAAUUGUGCCCUCAUCAAGAUACUUCUCUGGAAUGACUUCUUUAACAACUUUCUCCAUUAGCUCCUUCUGUAUUUGUUGUAGAGAUUUCACAGCCUGGAAGACAGAGAUCUUACUGCCUUUGAGACUGCCAAAGUGCACCACUCUUACAGUAGGCUCAGCAACACACACAUCUACUCAGCUGUCAGAGUUUCUGACCACUGCUCAAAUACGGUAUUCAUGAGGGGAAAAGAAGCCAAAUACAAGCGUAUUUUGAAGAAAUCUGCUAAAACACUGACAGAAGAGUUUAAACAAACCACGUGUGCUACAUACAAAUGUAUGAAACUCACAAAACCUUCGAACAUGAAAAUGACAGUACCAUUUAUGACAAACAUGAAUUCUGAUUUAGUAGCAGACAAGGCAACUUUGGCAUCUGGAUCAAUACUGAGAUGAGCAUCUAGAACAGCAUCACUUAUCUGAUCACAUAUCUUACCUAGAAGAUAAAAAU